AGCAGAGCAUGAGGGGAGAAGGGAGCCCAAAAGGGAGCCCAAAAAGGCCCGGCAUCCCUGAAUGGGGAGCGAAGAGGGGGCAGCUUUUGGGAUUGCUGGGACUGCCAGCAGGCUGGGGAGGGCGGGCACCGAGGAGAAGGGGGACCCCCAAUGCAAGCGUGACCCCAGCAGCUGGGACAGGGGGAACCCCGAACAGCAGAGGGGAGGGAGCAGGGACGGGGAAUUCCUGGGCAGGGUUUUCCAGUGCUGAAUCUUGGUGUUUGGGAGGUUUUUCUGGAGGUCAGAUGGCCGGUGAAUUGUAGAGAUGGACGUGGGCUGAGGGACCUUCAAACUCAACAUGCUCGUCCCUUGUUUUCCCCAAACCAGGAUUUCCCAUUGUCACUUCUUGUGAGGUAGUGAGGAAGAGGAAGAUGCCCUGGGACACAGAGUGAGAAGGAAGUGGAGCAAGUGAACCAUUAGAGGAACAUACUGAAACCAGUAGAACAAUGCCCGUCACCUGGACUCUGUAGCAAUCCAUCAUGAAGCAGGGAGCCUUGGAUGGUGCCAGAGGGUCACAGAGAGCUGAUGAAGACAUUCCUGACUUCAGCCCUUAAGACCACUGACCCAGUUGGAGACCACCGACCCAAUUCCAGAGAAGAAUUGCGCAGGCGUGAAGGACUAAUGACCUCAUUUUAAUACAGAGCAGGGAGGGGAGGUGCUGGGUUUUGCAUAUGUAUUAUUUUGGGAAAUAGAAGGCAAAAAUCCUUGUACAACACUGUCACACAUUUCGGGAACAACUGCCCCAUGCUGCCUGCCAGCGUAAUAAACACACCACUUUCUAACUUGGA